rnacentral:rRNA from 1 species
GCCUUGCCAGCCCGCUCAGAAACUUAAAGGAAUUGACGGGGGCCCGCACAAGCGGAGGAGCAUGUGGUUUAAUUCGAUGAUACGCGAGGAACCUUACCUGGGCUCGAACGUAAGAUGACUGUAGGUGAAAGCUUACAUCUCUUCGGAGCAUUUUACGAGGUGCUGCGUGGUUGUCGUCAGCUCGUGCCGUGAGGUGUCGGGUUAAGUCCCAUAACGGGCGCAACCCCUACCUUUAGUUGCCAUCAGGUUAAGCUGGGGACUCUAAAGGAACUGCCUACGCAAGUAGUGAGGAAGGCGGGGAUGACGUCAAAUCAGCACGGCCCUUACGUCCAGGGCUACACACGUGCUACAAUGGCCGAUACAGAGGGCAGCUACCUGGUGACAGGAUGCAAAUCUCCAAAGUCGGUCUCAGUUCGGAUCGGAGUCUGCAACCCGACUCCGUGAAGUUGGAUUCGCUAGUAAUCGCGCAUCAGCCAUGGCGCGGUGAAUACGUUCCCGGGCCUU